rnacentral:tRNA from 2 species
GGAGGAUUAGCUCAGUUGGCUAGAGUGCUACGUUGACAUCGUAGAGGUCACUGGUUCAAGCCCAGUAUUCUCCACCA